rnacentral:rRNA from 1 species
UACGGAGGGUGCAAGCGUUAUCCGGAUUUACUGGGUUUAAAGGGCGCGCAGGCGGAUAUGUAAGUCAGUGGUGAAAUCUUCCCGCUUAACGGGAAAACUGCCGUUGAUACUAUAUAUCUUGAAUGCCGUGGAGGUAAGCGGAAUAUGUCAUGUAGCGGUGAAAUGCUUAGAGAUGACAUAGAACACCGAUUGCGAAGGCAGCUUACUACACGGAUAUUGACGCUCAUGCACGAAAGCGUGGGGAGCAAACAGG